UCCGUCUUCCCAUCAGCAACAGCCCCAUAAUCAUUUACAUUAAAAACACCCCGUCCACUCAAAGGAAAUUCGCCGGACGGCUCCGGCGCAAGAGAAUCAAAUCCACCGUCGGCAGAUUCAAGAGGCGUGUCCGGCGAGAAAUUGCUUGCAGAUACAGAAAGGGCCAGAAGAAAAGAGAACAAAAAUGGUGAAAGCUUCAUGGUUCUUGAAAUUCUCGGAUGCAGGAAAUUGUGGAGGAUUGGCCAGUUAUAUGUUCUGAUGAAUUGAUUGAAUCACUUGGAGUUUCUUCCUCCUACUUAUAGCUUGUUCGUUUCAGAACCUGAAAUUAAAAUUUCAAUAAGGUUCUCCGGUUUGGCUUUUGAUUCUGUAAAUUCUGUAAGGAACAAUGAUCCGAAAUAGAAUUGCUACUCAAAAAGUUUUUUGAAUUAGAUUGAAUCUGAGAAGCAUCGAGCCACUGUAACAUGACUUAUGAAUCAUGUCAUGUUACAAAUUAAGCACAGAAGAAUAUCAGAAAAGUAAGCAAAAAAAAAAAAAAAAAAAA